ensembl:lncRNA
UGGCCAAAGGGCAAUUGUGCACGUCCCAGGGCAGCGCGGGGGAAACAUCACAUUAUGUGCCGCCAUAUGCCUUCGAGGGCUUCUGCACCAUCAUGCAAUACUAGGUCCAUACAAUAGCCAACACAUACUCACAUUUCUAGAUGCUCUCCAUGAUAUAGUUGUACAGAACAGACCAGAUCAGCCCAGGUUUGUGGUGAUAUGGGAUAAUGUCAGUUUCCAUCGGGCUGCUCUGGUCCAGGCCUGGUUCUCCAACCAAAGUCAACUUGAAGUGGCAAUGGAACAGGCCUGCGGCGACAUUCAGGUGACAGCAAUCCAUGGAUGGUUUUGACAUGGAAGAGGAUAUUUUCCCCGGUGCCCAGCGGGAGAAGACAUUGCUUGCGAUGUUGAUGAGGUCCUGUGGCCAGACCCCAACAGACGGCGGGAUCCAUGAGCCCACGUAUGCACAAUUGUCAUGAUUUUUUGUUUACAGUAUAGUGUUUUUUCUAUUACUGUAUUAUGGGGGUUUUUUUGUUUUGGUUUUUUUUGCUUUAUCUGAAUUCAUGGUACUGCAAUGUACAAUAUUGAGUAGGUCUAUUUGCUUUUUUGGUUGUUUGCAAAUGUGUCUCCUGAAAAUAUGCCUUCUGAAUACACAAUGGAAAUCAAAGACUGCAGUGCUUUAUAUAAAGUAGACUAGUGUGUUCCUCCUGCUCUGUAAGUGUUUGCAUAUGAUGCAAGUAUGUGUCAUUUUGUCAACAGAGUUACAUUUUGACAAAGGAAUGUUAGGUUUUGAUAGCAGAGUUUAGGUUUUGAGAGUAGAGUUUCAAUUUGGUGCAGAUGUGAAUGGUAUAUUUCCCAGUGUUGUGUCAUGUUUACUUGUGUUUAGGGUUUUGGCACAAUGAGCAAAGUUUUGCAAAAUGUGUUCAGGCAACGGGCAAAAACUGUAAUAGCUGCCCUGACUUCUGUCAUACUUCCUGAUUCACUAACUUU